rnacentral:rRNA from 1 species
UACGUAGGGUGCGAGCGUUGUCCGGAAUUAUUGGGCGUAAAGAGCUUGUAGGCGGUUUGUCGCGUCUGCUGUGAAAAUCCGGGGCUCAACCCCGGACUUGCAGUGGGUACGGGCAGACUAGAGUGUGGUAGGGGAGACUGGAAUUCCUGGUUUAGCGGUGAAAUGCGCAGAUAUCAGGAGGAACACCGAUGGCGAAGGCAGGUCUCUGGGCCACUACUGACGCUGAGAAGCGAAAGCAUGGGGAGCGAACAGG